rnacentral:lncRNA from 1 species
GCUGAAUGAAUCUGCUGACUUGACCUGCAGCUGCUGCAGAGGCUUUUAAACUGCUCGUUCUCUCAAAGAAAGAGUCCUGUCUCCAUGGAGCCACGAAGACCGGGCUCCAUCUGCUCUGCUUGCCACGUUACAACUCGACUGGAUAUUCUGAGUAUUUUCCUGCAGGGACAUUAUCAAGUGUAGGUGCUCCUUGACUUACAAUGGGGUUAUGUCCUGAAAAAUCCAGCACAACAUGAAAAUAUCAAAAAGGCAUUCAGUGCACCUGACCUGCCAAACCUCAGCUCAGCUGCAUGGUCCAGGGCAGAGCACUUUUUCUUUGCGAUUAGGUGUUUCUCCAGGGGCUGAGCCACCACCAUGAGAGCAUGGCCGGCACACUGCUGGCCAGGGAAAGAUCAAACUUCAACAUCUGAAUUACAGGAGCAGGGGACAGAGCUUGGCGGUAGAGUGCAUGCCCAGCAUGCACAGGGCCCUUGUUCUCCCCAGUACUGCCAAACUAAGCAGCCUGAAUCCUGGCUUCUACUGAGUGUGCACAGGUUCGCACCAUCCAUCACCAAGUUGAGAAACAGUGAGUCUCAACCCCCUGAGCCAGAGAUAGCCAUGUGCCUGAGCAGUCACUUGCUCCUCUCAGUUCUGACCAAACGGAAGCUUUGUUGAGGAAUAAUCUGGUCCCCUUUCCUACAUGCGUUAUGGUCACCUGAAAUCCAUUCUCUAAAACUGUGUUUUUGAAAACUGAAUCCGAAAAAUGUCUCUCAUUUCAAACUUUGUGAAAAUAAAUUUUCAUUACUUAGCUUACCUUUCAUAAUUGAUUUUGGGGGUGGGGGUUCCAGAGAUUGAGGUCAAAGGCACUCGACCACUGAGCCACAUCCCCAGCCCUGUUUUGUAUUUUAUGUAGAGACAGGGUCUCACUGAGUUGCUUAGUGCCUCACUUUUGCUGAGAUUGGCUUUAAAGUCGUGAUCCUCCUGCCUUAGCCUCCCAAGCCGCUGGGAUUACAGCCACUAUCCCAGCAAAUAACUGGUUUUUGAUAGGGCUAUGAUUUGAAAGUAUGAAGCCAUGGUACAAAAUGAUUUUGAAGACUAAAUAGGACAGAUGCUCAGAGUAGACUUUAUGCACAUCUCGGAGGGCGUUCUCUGCAAGAGCCUUUAACAAUGAUUUCAUUCUCACUGAAGAAAGCCCAUGUCUAGGGUCAGCUCUGUUCCAAAGUUAACCUGUAAAAACCCCUCCCUGCCCUGGUUUCCACACAUUACGUGAAAAAAUAGAGCCUGAAAGAGUGCUGUUUCAGAAGAAAAUGUUAUGCUGAAGCAGCAAGGAAUUAUGAGAGAAUGGCAUAGUAAAUAUUAAAUAUCUUUGUUUUUCAGUUAAAUUUAAAACUGUUAAUAUAAAGUAAGAUCUGAAUAUCAUAUUUAUUUACCUUAAGUUACAGGGAUGGUUUGAAUGGUUAUGUUCCUCCAAAAGUUCAUGCUCUGGGAACUUGGUCCCCAGGUGGUGCUGAGGACAGUGGUGGGACUUUCAAGAGGGGGGACCUCAUGGGAGGUCCUUAGAGCUCUGGGGAUGUGAGGUUGCUCUCUUGUGACGCUUGAGUAAUUCUCCUGAGAUGGUUGUUAUAAAAGGAGCAAGCCUGGCCCCUCCCACCUUCUCUGCUUCUGUCUGAGAUAGAAUUGCUUUUGUAUUUCUAUACACUCUCCUGCCCAGGGGUGCCACUAUCCACAGCCCUCAUAAGACCCCAAGCCCAUGCCAUCCCACCUAUACCCAGCUCCACCUGAUCUUGGGAGUGACCCUGCAAAACUGUGAGCUAAAUCAACCUCCUUUUCUUCAUAUGAAGCCCUCCUUAGGUAUUUUGUUACAGUAAUGAAAACCUAGUAAGUUCUGUAACAGGGUCCACUUCAUGCUUUGAAGCACCCUUACUGCUCUGCCAUUGCAACUUAUUUUGAAACUGACUUGGUUUUUUCCCCCUUCUCUUCUUCCUUUCUCCCCUCCCUACCCUUGGGGGAAGCAAGAUUACCCUUCCUGCCAUCCUAGGCCGAGUUAUCUGUCCUUGAGCACAUAUCCACCACAGCAGUGAAGUACCUCAAACUUCAGGACGGCUCUGGAAGAGGUAAGAAACGGCUCUCCCUCAGGACCACCAGAAGAUGACGACCCCUGACAGGGUACACCUGGAACACAGCCUUUGAGGCCCCUCUUUCAAAGCUCCCUGACAGGAACAGUCACAGCUCUGGGACAGGAGUCUCCUGUGUCCCUCUUUGCUAACACAACAGUAAAACUUCUUUUUCCUUUUUCUCAAUCGUGUCCCCAUUCUUGGAUUGGCAUGGGGGACAAGGACUGAGUCUCCAGUGACGGUUCCAUACUUCCUCCUUAGUUCAGUAAAUCUAAGUGUGUGUUUCCUGGGGCUUGUCCCUCCUUUCCCCGACUUGCUUUUGUUCAAGUGGGCUGCCUCUCUGGCCUUCGAGACUUUCUGUGCUAGUUUAAAAGCUGUGGUUUAUAGACUUUGUAUUUUUAUUAGAGAGAAGCAGAGGCUGGAAUUUUGCCUUGCACAGCUCUGACACCCACAGCCCUAGAACAGAGGUGGCCUUAGCAGGUGGCUGGUAAGCACGGGGAGGUGAAUUUUAUUGCCCUGCCCACUGUCCUGAGCCGUCAGACAUGGGGAUGAUUUCCAUGAACACAACAGAGGAGAGCUCUCCUCAACCCUCUUCGGUUUUCUGGUCUCCAGAUGAUGGAGAUGUUUCUCCUGUCCAGGGCACCCACCCUGCCCAGGGCCCCCCUGGAGAAGAGCUGGGGAAGGUCCUCUUCCCUGGUGGCCAGGCCUCUGGUGAGGAGGGCUGGAUAAUAGGGUGGGCAGGCCACUACCUGCCCAGGAAGGGUUCCACCCUCCUGCUGGAGAAGGCUGGAGUGCAGCUUCUGGACGGAGAAGGGGGCUGUGCCACUGUGGCUUUAUUCUCUACCCACCCCCAAGCCCCAGAAGAGCUAAGGCGGUUCAUUAGUUAAUAUGAUUCUCAAAAAAACCCUCUGUGACAAUUAAUCACCUUUCUGCCUCUAAUGAGGACAUGCCUUCCUGAGACCUGGGAAGGGGUGUGACUAUUUCACCAUGAAAUCUCCAAUUAGUGGGUGUUACAAGAUUGUUUUACUAAACUGACACUUGUUAUUUCUAACCUAUAGACGCAGAGGGGGCACACACACAGCUGUGGAGCUGAGAUGGUGUCUUCUGAUGGAACCUCUUGAGUCACCAGGAAACACAUGCUUUGAAAACCCCUUGGCUCCCGGAGUACACCCGCCGCGGAGCAGGAAAACGGCUGAUGGAACAUGAACAAGGAAAGAAAACUGCCUGCUGCACACACGUGCACGCGCAAUCAGACAUGCACACACAUACACACGCACGCACACACUCAUACACACGCGCACCCUGAUCUUGGUUACUUAGUUCCUUGGGGGCUGAGAGAGAAGCUGCUUCCUGCUCACUCAUUUGGGAAGCAUGCUUGUCAUUUAAGCGACCUCCUUGCUGGAGUUCGAGGUGGUGUUUAUACACUUAAGGUGUCGCCGUGUUCACACAUGACAUUGCCACAGGGCAGUUUUCAGAACCAGGCCACUGAUGCUGCUGUGGCAUGGCUGACUGAACUGUGGGUUCUUGAACUUGGCUGUCCUCUGUUCUGUCUGGGAUUGUGACGGGCUCUAGCACUGCCUUUCUGUCUGUUCUUCUGCCUCCCCUGCCUUGCAGGCAGCUCCUCCGCCUUUCCUGGCCUCUCAGGACCUCAACACUGGUCAACGCCCUGGGAAACGUCCCUUGACUUGGGUUUGAGUCACUUCCGCGGACAGGCACAGAGCUCAUCUCACCUCUCAGGAGGAAGAGCCCUGCAGCUGGGAACCGGGAGGUGGGCUUGCUCAGCCCAUCUGAGGACCUGAAGUCUGAACAGCCAGAGGGGAGGAGGUGAGGUGCAGGGGCCAUGGGGCCAGAUCACCUGGGCUCAUGUCAGUCAUCGGAGGACCUGGGAGAGGCCAAGGAUGAGUCCCUCUGAUUUUUCUCUUAUUUAUUUUUGAGGUACUUGGAUCUGUGCAGGGCCUUGCCCAUGGUGAGCAGAUGCACCACCACUGAGCCACACCCCAGGCCUUGAUCUUCUUUUAAAAGGACGCUGCUCUGGUUAAGGACAGACCAAGGCUGAAACAGGGCACGGUCCCGAGGUGACUGUGGGUGAGACACACUCGUGGCUUGAUCUCAGGUGGUGAUAGGGAGGACAGGGAGGUGGGGGUGACUGCAUUUGGAUAGAUUUUGAAGGAGAGGGCUAGGACUUGCUGCUUAAGCAGAUGCAGGGCAGAGAGAAGGCGAGACUCCAACACAGGGUUAGAGUGCGGGGAGAAUGGGCAGCCAGUUCAACUGCUUUCAUACGAACUGGUGGACUUUAAGUUUUGUAAACAGGACAUGUGAAUACAGUCAAGGUUGAUCACAAGUGGUUAUAUUGAGAAGUUUUUAAUAUAGAGGCAUUUAGGGACAUCUGGAGUGUCCCAGGAGCUUUAUGUGUUGACCUGGCCCCUCACCAGACCAUGAAACCAUAUUCUCUGGAAGGGACUCCAGCUGAAGUAUUUUCAAAGCUCCACAGACAACUGAAACAGCAGCCAAGGUUGAGACCACAGUGCUGGGCUCCUCCUGCUGGGGCACCUCCUCCUUGUCUUCCCACCCCGACUGGCCUCUUCUUGCUCAAUUGCUGCUGUCCCCAUUUUAUAGAGGUGACUUGCCCAACAUUCCAGUAACUAGAAGUGGCUGAGUGGGAGCUUCACUAACCCCAGCAAACCAGCUGCCCACCUGCCCUCCACUAGCAGGAUGCCAUGCAGAGGGUAGUUCUUUCAAUACCAGAUCAAAACCAACAGAAGCCAAAUCCUCAGCCGUCUGUCCGAGGGAUGUCUGGUGGUGGGGCUGGAUGUACAGACAGAUGACAGAGGCGAGGAGCUGUCCCCUCUACCUAUUUUGGAAAAUGGGGGUACCUCCUGCACAGGGCAGGGGCAGUCAGGCAGCCCCCUGCUCAUCAGUGGUGGUAAUAACAAUUCAUUGACAGGAAUUUUUGGAGGAUUAGUGAAAUUUGGCAGGUGCUUGUGUCUCCAACACAGCACUCGCUUGAAUCCCCAGUCUCGCCUCUGUGAGUUUUAAGCUCCCUUGGGAGCUGCCCUCUGAGGGUCUGAUUCUGUGGAUCUGAGGUGCAGCCAGCUCAUCUGUGUAUCCAACAAACAUCCCAGGUGAUCUGGAGGACAAUGACCCAUUGAGUAACCGAGCCGCGGCCACAGGAGAGGAAACUGGACGCAGCCCUGGGCUUGGGCUCCUGAAACUCGCCUGAGGCUGCCCACUCUGCAAAUGGUGCUGGGGCCUCAGCCUCCUGGUCAGCUUCCCAUCUGCCAAAGUUCUCCACGAGCCUGGCCCUUAUUUUUGGAAGCAAACUGCAGCCUGAUCUUUCAUUUUUGGCUUCUAGAGUGUUAUUAAUGAGCAUCUGGCCAGAGUUAACAGAUGUGAUAACAACUCAGCCUUUUAAAAAAAAAUUUAACUUUGAUUAUCUUUUCCUUCAAGAACCACUAAUGUCACCCAGACUGCCUGGGGGAGAGGUGGGGCUCUCCCACACCUGGGCUUUACAAAAGUGCUUGAAAUGGCAAUAACACCAGGCAGGGCAGUGGUAUAGGCCACAAGAAAUGACAGCGUGCCUCUGGGGUAGGUGACAUAUAGGCAGUAUUGCCAUCUACAGGUAAAGGACACACACACACAUACACUUUUUAAAAAGGACUAAAUGUCAUUUAAAACCCUUUCCACAGCUUAUGCUUUCUGCAUAAAUAAGUACAUAGUAAAAUAGGAAACUAUGGCCAGAUGAGGAGGAACUCUCAGCAUGUGCCAUCUUUUCUAGGGUCUUCUCUGUUGGGGCUAUAGUCAGUGCUGAUGCUCACCAGACCCCUGGAGAUCUGAAUGACUCCACCUAGAUUCCAGACCAGGAAGCCAGGUGGUAAAGAGGUGGCCUGACACGGCUCGUUGGUUGUGGACUGUCCAAAGCUGCCUCUCUCCAUAGCCCUGUGCUGCCUUCUGGUGCUGAAGGUCCACCUGUCCUGUGCUCCUGCCCAGUGGUGUGGCCAAGUGUUUGCUCCAAUGGCUGCUGCAGGGAUCUUCCUGAGUCCUCUCCUCUGCCAAAUGCAUCGCCCACUGAAACAUCCUUCCUGUGACACGCUUUAUAACUCUUUCUGCUCCAAACCUCCUAUCUGGGAACGAAGAACAACACUUGUUGCCUGUCCUCUGGCCACCUCCCAGCUCAGAGAUUGUCUCCUCUCCACCUGCAACCAGGAUUUGUCUGGGAUCUUGUCUCCUGGAGCAGGGUUUCCAGCCUCGUGCAAGAGCCACCAUCACCAUGUGAGGCCCUCGAACCCUGCAGAGGUGGAGCCAGGGCCGGAGCCUGGCAGAAGCAGGAUGCAACCCCUAAGAGAGGGAUCCUGGGCAGACUGCCCUGGGCACAGAGGGCAGAGCAUGACCAGGCUAGGCCGGGGAGGGCGGGGCCUCCAGAAGCCAGGAGACUAGACCCUGACGUGUGGAUGGCUGGUGGAGACCUGAGGGUGAGGGUUAAGUGGUCCAACAGACGGCUCUUCAUGAUCCUUAGAGAGAAAGUGCAAACAUUUGAUGCUUUCUUUCCUUCUUAGAUUUAAAGGGUUUCCUAUUAGGUGUCAAGGGAUGCUGCUAGCUCCACCUUAUUAUGUUUCUGGGCAAACCUACUGGACUUCUGUUCCUUUAUUCAUCUGAUCAGCACAAUCCAAGAUAAGCUGUCAUUGGAAAUGGGAUGAAGGGCCAGGGGUGAAAUCUUGGACUGUUCAAGAGGUAGUUUCCAGGGAUAAAGCAGAUUGCAAAUGUCAAUGUGGGAAUGAAAUUUCUGCACACAAAAUCUCCCCCGACCCAGCAACAACCUGCUCUGCACAUGUGGAUGGCAGAAUUCCUGAUGUGUGACAUCCUGGCUUGGUCCCCUUCAAUUUCCUUAUGAGGGCAUCACACCUGGAUCCAGUUGGCACCUCCGAAUUAUUGAAGUGAAUGUUAUUACUUGGAUAAUCAGAAGCAAAAGUUAUUCCUUAAAAUAAAUCCUUUUUCCCAGAAAAUCCAAACCCAAACAGCGUUUCAACAAAUCUCAGAUCUUCUUUCAUCCUGAAUGUGAAGAGCAGGUGGUGUUGAUAUUUUGUUAGCAUUUUGUCCUAAGUUUCUUGGCCACAGUUCCUCUUAUUUUAUUUUCUUGUGCCGAUACUUAAGUAUUGAGAAUUCUUUCUUACAAUGAAGUUUCCAGGUCACAGAAAGCCAGCGUUGAUCAAUGUGGAGGCUUAGGCUUUGAGGAGCUCUUGGUUAGGGCCCAACAAGGUGAUCAGAAUGGAAUCGGAACCACCCACCGUGGGCCUUGGGGACGGAGGGCAACUUCCGAUUCUUAGCAAUUCAAGUAUUUCGG